GACGAACGCUGGCGGCGUGCUUAACACAUGCAAGUCGAACGGAAAGGCCCUGCUUUUGUGGGGUGCUCGAGUGGCGAACGGGUGAGUAACACGUGAGUAACCUGCCCUUGACUUUGGGAUAACUUCAGGAAACUGGGGCUAAUACCGGAUAGGAGCUCCUGCUGCAUGGUGGGGGUUGGAAAGUUUCGGCGGUUGGGGAUGGACUCGCGGCUUAUCAGCUUGUUGGUGGGGUAGUGGCUUACCAAGGCUUUGACGGGUGGCCGGCCUGAGAGGGUGACCGGCCACAUUGGGACUGAGAUACGGCCCAGACUCCUACGGGAGGCAGCAGUGGGGAAUAUUGCACAAUGGGCGGAAGCCUGAUGCAGCAACGCCGCGUGCGGGAUGAAGGCCUUCGGGUUGUAAACCGCUUUCGCCUGUGACGAAGCGUGAGUGGCGGUAAUGGGUAAAGAAGCACCGGCUAACUACGUG
rnacentral:rRNA from 1 species